rnacentral:rRNA from 1 species
UGGGGAAUAUUGGACAAGGGGAGAAAGCAUGAUAAAGACAGGAAGUGGGUGGGAAGAAGGGAUUGGGGGUGUAAAGAAAUUUAAGGGAGGAGGAGGGGACGAGUAGGAAGAAUAAUGGAGAGGGGAAGUGAAUAGGAGAAUAAGAACUGGAGAACGAGGGUGAAGGAGGUGGGGUAAUACAGAGGGUGCGAGCGUUAAUCGGAUUUACUGGGCGUAAAGCGUGCGUAGGCGGCUGAUUAAGUCGGAUGUGAAAUCCCUGAGCUUAACUUAGGAAUUGCAUUCGAUACUGGUCAGCUAGAGUAUGGGAGAGGAUGGUAGAAUUCCAGGUGUAGCGGUGAAAUGCGUAGAGAUCUGGAGGAAUACCGAUGGCGAAGGCAGCCAUCUGGCCUAACACUGACGCUGAGGUACGAAAGCAUGGGGAGCAAACAGG